GCCAUAGCUCAGUGGUAGAGCAUUUGCCUGUGCGCAGAAGGUCCCAGGUUCAAUGCGUAGCAUCCCCAGGUAGGAAUA